UUCCUUUCAAAAGCACUUUAUGGGUCUCUAUUCUGUGGCCUGGGAAGUCGUCCAGAAAGGGCAGAAUACAACAACCAUCACUUUUGGGUGAGGUGACAGUUGAAUGUGCUGUUGGUCUCAAUCAGUGGUGUGACAAGU